rnacentral:rRNA from 1 species
CCUACGGGAGGCUGCAGUGGGGAAUCUUGGGCAAUGGGCGUAAGCCUGAACCAGCCAAGUCGCGUGAGUGAUGAAGGUUCUAUGGAUCUUAAACCUCGUUUAUAGGGGAAUAAAUUGUGGUAAGUGUCCUGUUUUGUAUGUACCUUAUGUAUAAGGAUAGGCUAGCUCCGUUCCAGCAGCCGCGGUAAUGCGGAGGAUCCGAGCGUUAUCCGGAUUGAUUGGGUUUAAAGGGUGCGUAGGCGGACUGUUAAGUCAGGGGUGAAAGUCUGUGGCUCAACCAUAGAAUGGCCGUUGAAACUGGGAGGCUUGAGUAUGUUUGAGGCAGGUGGAAGGCGUGGUGUAGCGGUGAAAUGCUCAGAUAUCACGCAGAACCCCGAUUGCGAAGGCAGCCUGCUAAGCCAUGACUGACGCUGAUGUACGAAAGCGUGGGGAUCAAACAGGAUUAGAUACCCUAGUAGUC